CCCCGUACACAAAAGCGCAUGUGCUGUGAGCUCGAUGAGUAGGGCGGGACACGUGGUAUCCUGUCUGAAUAUGGGGGGACCAUCCUCCAAGGCUAAAUACUCCUGACUGACCGAUAGUGAACCAGUACCGUGAGGGAAAGGCGAAAAGAACCCCGGCGAGGGGAGUGAAAAAGAACCUGAAACCGUGUACGUACAAGCAGUGGGAGC
rnacentral:rRNA from 1 species